rnacentral:rRNA from 1 species
GACGAACGCUGGCGGCGUGCCUAAUACAUGCAAGUUGAGCGCUGAAGGUUGGUACUUGUCCCAACUGGAUGAGCAGCGAACGGGUGAGUAACGCGUGGGGAAUCUGCCUUUGAGCGGGGGACAACAUUUGGAAACGAAUGCUAAUACCGCAUAAAAACUUUAAACACAAGUUUUAAGUUUGAAAGAUGCAAUUGCAUCACUCAAAGAUGAUCCCGCGUUGUAUUAGCUAGUUGGUGAGGUAAAGGCUCACCAAGGCGAUGAUACAUAGCCGACCUGAGAGGGUGGACGGCCACAUUGGGACUGAGACACGGCCCAAACUCCUACGGGAGGCAGCAGUAGGGAAUCUUCGGCAAUGGACGAAAGUCUGACCGAGCAACGCCGGGGGAGGGAAGAAGGUUUUCGGAUCGUAAAACUCUGUUGGUAGAGAAGAACGUUGGUGAGAGUGGAAAGCUCACCAAGUGACGGUAACUACCCAGAAAGGGACGGCUAACUACGUG